GAUGAACGCUGGCGGCGUGCCUAAUACAUGCAAGUCGAGCGAACGGACGAGAAGCUUGCUUCUCUGAUGUUAGCGGCGGACGGGUGAGUAACACGUGGAUAACCUACCUAUAAGACUGGGAUAACUUCGGGAAACCGUAGCUAAUACCGGAUAAUAUUUUGAACCGCAUGGUUCAAAAGUGAAAGACGGUCUUGCUGUCACUUAUAGAUGGAUCCGCGCUGCAUUAGCUAGUUGGUAAGGUAACGGCUUACCAAGGCAACGAUGCAUAGCCGACCUGAGAGGGUGAUCGGCCACCCUGGAACUGAGACACGGACCAGACUCCUACGGGAGGCAGCAGUAGGGAAUCUUCCGCAAUGGGCGAAAGCCUGACGGAGCAACGCCGCGUGAGUGAUGAAGGUCUUCGGAUCGUAAAACUCUGUUAUUAGGGAAGAACAUAUGUGUAAGUAACUGUGCACAUCUUGACGGUACCUAAUCAGAAAGCCACGGCUAACUACGUG
rnacentral:rRNA from 1 species